rnacentral:lncRNA from 1 species
UUCUUUAUGUGUGUCUAUGUAUUUGUGAUGUAAUGAUUGCAAAAAUUAGUAUGUAAAAUCUGAUUUUGGCAUUGUUAUUCUUGAUGUGUUAUAUUGGUGAUGAUGAACAUGAAGGUGAUUUUCAUGAUGCAUUGUUGGUGAUGUUACAUUGAUAAAAUUAUAUGUUAAUUGUUAGACUUAGAAUGUAAUAACAGUAGAUACAUGAUAUAAGAUGUUAGAUUUUUGAAAUAAG